rnacentral:tRNA from 1 species
GCCGGGGUGGUUUAGUCGGUUAAGCGUCUGACUUCGGCUCAGGUCAUGAUCUCACAGUCCGUGAGUUCGAGCCCCACGUCAGGCU